CUAUCCAAAUGCUGCUCUAGUAGCUUUGUUUGUUUUUUUUUUUUUUUUUUUCCUUCUCAACUAACGGGAGAGGUCCUUCUCAAAAAAAUAAAAUAAAGGCUAAAAGGUUGUACCCAAGGAGCUCCUUUCCAAGCUUCAUUCAUGGCCAACCACCAAGGUCAGCUGCUUUUUGCUCAUCACUGGUCACUGUCUGAUUGUCGUUCCUUGGCGGUGGUUGUCUUUCUCUUAACUCGGUUUGACUUCAAACCUUCAUUGGAGUUCCAAUCCACAGCUGGGUUAUUAUGUUUUGGUUGAUUUAAAAGUUUUUUGGAUUUGGUGAACAACCUAGUUAAGCUCUCUCUAUGAUCUGGUAUAGGUUGUUGGAUUAUUUCUCUCCAAUCUAAUAUGGGUCUCCUUGGAUUCUUUCUCUAUUUGAUCUGAUUUGAGUUUUUAAGUUCAGUUUUUAGUUAAAUCUUUUCUUAUUUCUGAUUUUGUUUGUAAAAACCAAAUGAAUCACAAAAAAGAAAAACCCAGAAACAUUGUUUCAUUAUCGAAUAAAUAAUCAUUAUUAUAGGUAGUGAAUUCGUAAAUUGUAUGAGAUAUUGAUGGUUGACGUUAGAUCCUACUGUUCGAGUUUGUUGUGC